CUUGUAAUUGGAAUGAUGGGAAUUUAAACCUCUUCCAGAGUAUCAAUUGGAGGGCAAGUCUGGUGCCAGCAGCCGCGGUAAUUCCAGCUCCAAUAGCGUAUAUUAAAAUUGUUGCAGUUAAAAAGCUCGUAGUUGAAUUUCUGCUACAUUGCCUAUUCUCCUUUACGAGUUUGGGUCUUUUGUGGCUUAUCUGGGUUCGCUUGCGUUCCCGGUGUUUUACUUUGAGAAAAUUAGAGUGCUCAAAGCAGGCUUUUGCCUUGAAUAGUUUAGCAUGGAAUAAUAAAGUAGGACUUUGGUUCUAUUUUGUUGGUUUUAGGUACCAAAGUAAUGGUUAAUAGGAACAGUUGGGGGCAUUCGUAUUUAACUGUCAGAGGUGAAAUUCUUAGA
rnacentral:rRNA from 1 species